rnacentral:rRNA from 1 species
UGGGGAAUAUUGCACAAUGGAGGGAACUCUGAUGCAGCGACGCCGCGUGAGUGAUGAAGGAAUUCGUUUCGUAAAACUCUGUUCUAUGGGAAGAAAAGGACUGUACCAUAGGAGAAAGCUCCGGCUAAAUACGUGCCAGCAGCCGCGGUAAUACGUAUGGAGCGAGCGUUGUCCGGAUUAAUUGGGCGUAAAGGGUUCGUAGGCGGCUUUACAAGUUGGAUGUGAAAUAUUGUGGCUCAACCACAAACGUGCAUCCAAAACUGCAAAGCUUGAGUUAAUGAGAGGUAAGUGGAAUUCCUGGUGUAGCGAUAGAAUGCGUAGAUAUCAGGAGGAAUACCGGUGGCGAAGGCGACUUACUGGACUUAAACUGACGCUCAGGCACGAAAGCGUGGGGAGCAAACAGG